CUGUUGCAGUUAUGUUGAUUGCGUAUUAAUUUAUCGAAUAUGAAAAUAUCUACGGGUAAUAGAAGCGAAUCUGUGAAGUCUAGAAACAAUAUUUAAAUUAGUAGCUAGUCAACAAUGCAUAAUAUUUGUUUGGUGGAUAUAUCUUUGCAAAAUCUAUCUUCAUUCUGGGAAUUGAAUAGCUGCCUACUUCAAGAAAAUUGCAUCUGCUUUCCCAAACGAAAGUCAAUUGACGUUUCGAUGACAGUGCUGCAAAAUUUUUCCGAAAAAUCAAAUCGAUGCAUCAACCAAAUUACUUUCAUUAAAAACCACGCAUAAAUUUUGAGAAAAAGACGAGAAUUUGGGCAAUUUUGGGAAGUGCUCAUUCCAACAGAGAACAACAUGGUUAUGAUGACAACUAUAGUGGCUGCUAUCGGUGGUACCAUGAUGCUCAUUGGAUGCUGUUACUGCAUCUACAUCAACACAGGACCGGGAUCAGGUACUAGGUUUAAUAUAAAUAGGGACAAACGUGAAAGAUGUAGAGAAAAAGAAAGGAGGAGAUCACGUGACAAGUAUCGAGAAGGUUGCCACUCGCAUGACUGUAAACGUGAUCACCGAAUGCUUGGUAAUGCUUGAUAACAAGAACCCCAAGUGUCUGCUAGAAGAAUGUUAAAUUUUUCUGGUGUACCUCCUCUUAUUUUAUAUUAAAUGAAGUGAAGGUUACAAUUAUGUAACCCACAACUGAGAUUGA